AAACAAGAAACUCCCAGUGAUAUGGUUUCGGCCCAUAUAAAGGCACACACCUGUGCCCUUGUUUU
rnacentral:tRNA from 1 species